GAUGAACGCUGGCGGCGUGCCUAAUACAUGCAAGUCGAGCGAACAGAUGAGGAGCUUGCUCCUCUGACGUUAGCGGCGGACGGGUGAGUAACACGUGGAUAACCUACCUAUAAGACUGGGAUAACUUCGGGAAACCGGAGCUAAUACCGGAUAAUAUCUUGAACCGCAUUGUUCAAUAGUGAAAGACGGUGUUGCUGGCACUUAUCGAUGGAUCCGCGCCGCAUUAGCUAGUUGGUAAGGUAACGGCUUACCAAGGCAACGAUGCCUAGCCGACCUGAGAGGGUGAUCGGCCACACUGGAACUGAGACACGGUCCAGACGCCUACGGGAGGCAGCAGUAGGGAAUCUUCCGCAAUGGGCGAAAGCCUGACGGAGCAACGCCGCGUGAGUGAUGAAGGUCUUCGGAUCGUAAAACUCUGUUAUUAGGGAAGAACAAAUGUGUAAGUAACUGUGCACGUCUUGACGGUACCUAAUCAGAAAGCCACGGCUAACUACGUG
rnacentral:rRNA from 1 species